rnacentral:rRNA from 2 species
AAUCCAUAGGUUAAUGAGGCGAACCGGGGGAACUGAAACAUCUAAGUACCCCGAGGAAAAGAAAUCAACCGAGAUUCCCCCAGUAGCGGCGAGCGAACGGGGAGGAGCCCAGAGCCUGAAUCAGCAUGUGUGUUAGUGGAAGCGUCUGGAAAGGCGCGCGAUACAGGGUGACAGCCCCGUACACAAAAGCGCAUGUGCUGUGAGCUCGAUGAGUAGGGCGGGACACGUGGUAUCCUGUCUGAAUAUGGGGGGACCAUCCUCCAAGGCUAAAUACUCCUGACUGACCGAUAGUGAACCAGUACCGUGAGGGAAAGGCGAAAAGAACCCCGGCGAGGGGAGUGAAAAAGAACCUGAAACCGUGUACGUACAAGCAGUGGGAGCCCCACCACCAAAGCAUUUGCUGUACCGCGUUGACGGAGCGAAGCGACGUCAAACCGAUAAAACAGCAGUGUAAAGUGAGCCGCAGGGCGCUUUGCGCGACAGCG